GACGAACGCUGGCGGCGUGCUUAACACAUGCAAGUCGAACGGAAAGGCCCUGCUUUUGUGGGGUGCUCGAGUGGCGAACGGGUGAGUAACACGUGAGUAACCUGCCCUUGACUUUGGGAUAACUUCAGGAAACUGGGGCUAAUACCGGAUAGGAGCUCCUGCUGCAUGGUGGGGGUUGGAAAGUUUCGGCGGUUGGGGAUGGACUCGCGGCUUAUCAGCUUGUUGGUGGGGUAGUGGCUUACCAAGGCCUUGACGGGUAGCCGGCCUGAGAGGGUGACCGGCCACAUUGGGACUGGGAUACGGCCCAGACUCCUACGGGAGGCAGCCGUGGGGAAUAUUGCACAAUGGGCGGAAGCCUGAUGCAGCAACGCCGCGUGCGGGAUGACGGCCUUCGGGUUGGAAACCGCUUUCGCCUGUGACGAAGCGUGAGUGACGGUAAUGGGUAAAGAAGCACCGGCUAACUACGUG
rnacentral:rRNA from 1 species